CCCUUAGAUGUUCUGGGCUGCACACGUGCUACACUGGCAGGUUCAGCGAGCUUCAUGCCCUGAUCUGAAAGGAAUGGGAAAUCUUUUCAAAACCUGCCGUGCUUGGGAUAGAUGUUUGCAAUUAUUCAUCUUCAACGAGGAUUGCCUUGUAAGCGCACGUCAUCAGCGUGCAUUGAAUACGACCCUGUAUUCUGUACGCACCGCCCGUCGCUCCUACCGAUUGAAGUUUUCGGUGAGUUGACAGGAGGAUUUUUUUGAAACUGGUUCGCCAGUGGAUUUUAGAUCCAAAUGCCAACGAAUCGAUGGCUUUAGAGGAAGGAGAAGUCGUAACA
rnacentral:rRNA from 1 species